rnacentral:telomerase_RNA from 1 species
UCAUCCCGGGUCGGCCGAGGGUCGCUGGUCUUCUAACCCUAACUGAUGGAGGCGUAGGUGCUGUGCUUUAGUUCCCCGCGCGUUGUUUUUCUCGCUGACUUUCAGCGGGCGGGAAAAGCCUCGGCCUACCGCCGUCUACCGGUAGUCUGCAGCAAACCAAAAAAUGUCAGCCGCUGGCCGCUCGCCCCUCCCGGGAGCCUGCUCUGGCUUGGCCGCCCACUUCCGCGCCCGCCUGGAGGCCGCGGUCGGCCCGGGGCUUCUCCGGAGGUUCCCAUUGCCGCUGCGAAGAGCUGGGCUCUGUCAGCCGCGGGUCCCGCGGGAACCAGGGGCGAGGCUAGGGCCUAACGCAGGAAGAGAAACGGAGCGGUGCCCCGCGUGCGUGCGCUUCCCUGAGUGGUGGGGUUGGCGCCUGGGACCCAGCUCCUACAGAU